rnacentral:rRNA from 1 species
UACGUAGGGAGCGAGCGUUGUCCGGAUUUACUGGGUGUAAAGGGUGCGUAGGCGGGUAAGCAAGUCAGAAGUGAAAUCCAUGGGCUUAACCCAUGAACUGCUUUUGAAACUGUUUAUCUUGAGUGAAGUAGAGGUAGGCGGAAUUCCCGGUGUAGCGGUGGAAUGCGCAGAUAUCGGGAAGAACACCGAUGGCGAAGGCAGCUCUCUGGGCCGUCACUGACGCUGAGGCGCGAAAGCUGGGGGAGCGAACAGG